GCAGUGGUAGCCCAGUGGUCAAGACGUUGGACUACUAAUCGGAAAAUCAAGAGUUCAAUUCCCCGCACCA